UGGGGAAUAUUGGACAAUGGGCGCAAGCCUGAUCCAGCCAUGCCGCGUGUGUGAAGAAGGCCUUAUGGUUGUAAAGCACUUUAAGCGAGGAGGAGGCUACUGAAGUUAAUACCUUCAGAUAGUGGACGUUACUCGCAGAAUAAGCACCGGCUAACUCUGUGCCAGCAGCCGCGGUAAUACAGAGGGUGCAAGCGUUAAUCGGAUUUACUGGGCGUAAAGCGCGCGUAGGCGGCUAAUUAAGUCAAAUGUGAAAUCCCCGAGCUUAACUUGGGAAUUGCAUUCGAUACUGGUUAGCUAGAGUGUGGGAGAGGAUGGUAGAAUUCCAGGUGUAGCGGUGAAAUGCGUAGAGAUCUGGAGGAAUACCGAUGGCGAAGGCAGCCAUCUGGCCUAACACUGACGCUGAGGUGCGAAAGCAUGGGGAGCAAACAGGAUUAGAUACCCCGGUAGUCC
rnacentral:rRNA from 1 species